AGUGGGGAAUAUUGCACAAUGGGCGCAAGCCUGAUGCAGCCAUGCCGCGUGUGUGAAGAAGGCCUUAGGGUUGUAAAGCACUUUCAGUCGUGAGGAAAGGUGUGUGCUUAAUACGUACAUACUGUGACGUUAGCGACAGAAGAAGGACCGGCUAACUCCGUGCCAGCAGCCGCGGUAAUACGGAGGGUCCGAGCGUUAAUCGGAAUUACUGGGCGUAAAGCGCGCGUAGGUGGAUUGGUCAGUCAGAUGUGAAAGCCCAGGGCUCAACCUUGGAACUGCAUCUGAUACUGCUAGUCUAGAAUACAGUAGAGGGUAGUGGAAUUUCCUGUGUAGCGGUGAAAUGCGUAGAUAUAGGAAGGAACACCAGUGGCGAAGGCGACUACCUGGACUGAUAUUGACACUGAGGUGCGAAAGCGUGGGGAGCAAACAGGAUUAGAUACCCUGGUAGUCCACGCCGUAAACGAUGUCUACUAGCCGUUGGAAGACUUGAUCUUUUAGUGGCGAAGCUAACGCGAUAAGUAGACCGCCUGGGGAGUACGGCCGCAAGGUUAAAACUCAAAUGAAUUGACGGGGGCCCGCACAAGCGGUGGAGCAUGUGGUUUAAUUCGACGCAACGCGAAGAACCUUACCAACUCUUGACAUCCAGAGAAGAGGCUAGAGAUAGCUUUGUGCCUUCGGGAACUCUGAGACAGGUGCUGCAUGGCUGUCGUCAGCUCGUGUUGUGAAAUGUUGGGUUAAGUCCCGUAACGAGCGCAACCCUUGUCCUUAUUUGCCAGCACGUAAUGGUGGGAACUCUAAGGAGACUGCCGGUGACAAACCGGAGGAAGGUGGGGACGACGUCAAGUCAUCAUGGCCCUUACGAGUUGGGCUACACACGUGCUACAAUGGCCGGUACAGAGGGCUGCAAACCUGCGAAGGUAAGCUAAUCUCACAAAACCGGUCGUAGUCCGGAUUGGAGUCUGCAACUCGACUCCAUGAAGUCGGAAUCGCUAGUAAUCGUGGAUGAGAAUGCCACGGUGAAUACGU
rnacentral:rRNA from 1 species